AGUUGCAUUACAGGGCAAGCUUCCAUUGGCAUGCAGCCACUAAGACACGCAAUAUCUAACACUUGAUGCAUUCCUGUAGAGUGCGGCGCCAUGCCAAAGGAGAUUUGCCCGGCAAUUCUUCU
rfam:Populus trichocarpa scaffold_4_contig_69, whole genome shotgun sequence.